UGAAACGCAGAUUUCCAAGCAAGGAACAUUGACAGGUUGUUGUCUGAUGGAUUUUCUCCUCUCCUGAGAAGCAGGUGCCUUUCUGUACCUUGAUUACGAAGAGCACAAGUAAAUACUUGGUUAGUCCCACUGCCGUCUUCCUAGCAUUUGGGUUGUCUGAGGAAGUCUCCAACCCCGCAGGAGGUGCUCUAGGGCCUUGUGACACUCAGGGAGGUGAGUCUGGGGCAGUCAGGAGGCUGGAAGCAGGAAAAGCUCUUUGCUGAAGACCCUUCUCUCUGUUGACCGCUUGGGCCUCAUCGUCAGGGCACAGGAAGGGGUCAGAUGAUGGCUCUGUCCUGCGCCCCAUUUCCUGGUCCCUGCACUUGCAAGGCCAUUGGGCGUUAACGCCUCCCACGUUUCUCCGGGAAAUCGGGCCGUGACUCGAUGACUCACCUUCCUCUUUCUGGCCGUACCACUCCCAUGUGUUCACAACUCAAGCUCCUGGGAACAUUCUAGGCCUCCUUUCUUGGAGACGUGCUGAGGGCCUCUGUUCCAGUUGGAUUGCGCAUCCAGACAUGAGGAGGACCUAUGCUGUUUCUGCGUCAGGAGGAGCCCUGGCUGCCAGGCCAGGAGGUUCCCGACUCAGGGUGUGACCUUGGCUCCAGACCCCGGGAGCUCCGUCUGCACCUCCGCCCUUCCGACCACACAUGUGCUGAUGCAGUCGGGGCUGCAGUCGGGCUGAUUUUUAAAUCCCCAUGAAUGUGGAUCAGGAGUCAGAGGGGGACCGGGAGAGGCCUCAGUGGCAAGAAGGGGGUUGAGCCGGCCACACGCUGCAGUCAGAGGGGGUGGCGUCACUUCUUCCUCCAGACCUCCAUGCCCCGGUCCUCCGUGAGCCAGCUUCAGGCUCCCUCCUGUCCUGGCUGGUGUCCACCUGCCUUUCUGUCGCAUGGGAACACGCAGGAAGACACGGCAUUGAGGUCACCAUGUUGUGCACUGGGGGACUACCCGCCGUGGUCCUCGCGUGAAGCGGAGGACGGAGUUUGUGAUGGCCGCAGGGGGCACCCAUCAGGGCUGCUGCAGGCGCGCAUGUGACGGGAAAGAGAAGCUGGUACGUCUGGAGCUGAGGUGGCAGGGAACCGUCCCAUUGCUCCCCUGUCCUGCAGAAGGCUGACUCCCACGGUGGCCCAUGUGGCCCCACCGUGGAGCUGGGGUAGGGUCUUCGGAGCACAUGAGACGGCGGGAAAGGUGAGCAGCCGCGGGAGAG
rnacentral:lncRNA from 1 species